GCACCACCCCCGAGACCGAUCAAACCGGUGGCUACACGCGAGCGUCCGUCGGACAGCCAACGAAAAGCUUCAAAUUGAAGUCUGCGUCGGAUGAUACGGAGCGCGAGAGACGUUCAUGGCGCAAAAGAGGAGGCAAAAACAAGACGCGCGUGUUGAGGGGCUCUGCGUCGGCAGAUCACCCCCUCUGGGAGAAGACUUCGCUCCUGGUGUCACCGGAAGUCGCCAGUUGAAUGGGUCAUGCCUGCAUAGGUGUUCUCCGCGAACGGAGAGUUUUGCGAGACCCCAGAAAGCAAUGCAGGUACAACGCGGCAGCGAAGCGAGUUCGAAGGAACAAACGCAGGAAUUUGCAAAUAGUUUGCAAACAGAGGUGGCAUGAGCGAACAUACACAGAAAAGCAAAAGCUCCAUGGUUGGCAGUGAGGAAGUGUGUGUGAGGGCUGGGAUUUUGCGGUGGACGAAAGAGCGGCCAAAGAAAUAAAGGAAGUACCUGUUUUGAGUCGUUCCAUGCUAGUUUCCGCGAAACGGAAACGGUACCUGCUCGGUGGGAAGCAGGAUUGUAGCUGUUAAAGUGGUAAACCGCUUUGUUUCUCAGUCGAAUUAAAGCGUUUCUAGACGGGCUUGAUGGGAAAACCAAAUUUUUUUUACUUUACGUUGCCCGGUUUUUCCCGCAGCGAUGCUGAGCAAUGCACUACAGUGUUCUCGCGGAAAGCGUGACUGUAUUUCCCCAGUUUGUCCUCUUUUGGAGGGGAGCACCAAGGUCUGACAGAAAAAGGAAGGUAACGGUGGCAGUGUCUUAAAGAAGAGUCCGAAGAAGGGACGCGUCUGAUACACUUUUCGUGCGUGAGUGUGCCGCGGAAGCCGUCGCAAUAGCAUAUCGGUAAGGAGAAACAUCCGCUUCACAAAGAAAUCGUGUGGAACCGCUUGUUUUGCAUAGUGUGGGGGGACGGUGUGUGCCUGUAUUGCCUUCAUGAAGCACGCUUGCGCGGGCAGAGACCAGCGAAGACAUGCUUGCUUUCAAAAUUCUGCUGUGCCGGGCAUAG
rnacentral:lncRNA from 1 species